CCUACGGGAGGCAGCAGUAAGGAAUAUUGGUCAAUGGAGGCAACUCUGAACCAGCCAUGCCGCGUGCAGGAAGAAGGCCCUAUGGGUCGUAAACUGCUUUUGUACCAGAGAAAACCCGAGUACGUGUACUCGGUUGAUAGUAUGGUAAGAAUAAGCAUCGGCUAACUUCGUGCCAGCAGCCGCGGUAAGACGAAGGAUGCAAGCGUUAUCCGGAUUCAUUGGGUUUAAAGGGUGCGUAGGCGGACUGAUAAGUCAGUGGUGAAAUCUCUCGGCUUAACCGAGAAACUGCCAUUGAUACUGUUAGUCUAGAGUAUAGAUGACGUUGGCGGAAUAUGACAUGUAGUGGUGAAAUACUUAGAUAUGUCAUAGAACACCGAUUGCGAAGGCAGCUAACGAAACUAUAACUGACGCUGAGGCACGAAAGUGCGGGGAUCAAACAGGAUUAGAUACCCUGGUAGUCCGCACCGUAAACGAUGAUUACUCGUUGUUGGCAAUAUGACCGUCAGCGACCAAGCGAAAGCGAUAAGUAAUCCACCUGGGGAGUACGCCGGCAACGGUGAAACUUAAAUGAAAUUGACGG
rnacentral:rRNA from 1 species